UACGGAGGGUGCAAGCGUUAUCCGGAUUUACUGGGUUUAAAGGGUGCGUAGGUGGGUCUGUAAGUCAGUGGUGAAAUCUUCGAGCUUAACUCGGAAACUGCCAUUGAUACUAUAGGUCUUGAAUAUCCUGGAGGUGAGCGGAAUAUGUCAUGUAGCGGUGAAAUGCUUAGAUAUGACAUAGAACACCGAUUGCGAAGGCAGCUCACUACGGGAUCAUUGACACUGAGGCACGAAAGCGUGGGGAUCAAACAGG
rnacentral:rRNA from 1 species